CUACGGGCGGCAGCAGUGGGGAAUAUUGGACAAUGGGCGAAAGCCUGAUCCAGCAAUACCGCGUGUGUGAAGAAGGCCUGCGGGUUGUAAAGCACUUUCAAUUGUGAAGAAAAGCGGAAGGUUAAUAACCUUUUGUCUUGACGUUAACUUUAGAAGAAGCACCGGCUAACUCUGUGCCAGCAGCCGCGGUAAUACAGAGGGUGCGAGCGUUAAUCGGAAUUACUGGGCGUAAAGCGUGCGUAGGCGGUUUAGUAAGUCAGAUGUGAAAGCCCUGGGCUCAACCUGGGAACUGCAUUUGAACUGCUGAACUAGAGUGUGGUAGAGGGAAGUGGAAUUCCGGGUGUAGCGGUGAAAUGCGUAGAUAUCCGGAGGAACACCAGUGGCGAAGGCGACUUCCUGGACCAACACUGACGCUGAGGUACGAAAGCGUGGGUAGCAAACAGGAUUAGAUACCCGAGUAGUC
rnacentral:rRNA from 1 species